rnacentral:rRNA from 1 species
UACGUAGGGUGCGAGCGUUGUCCGGAAUCAUUGGGCGUAAAGAGCUCGUAGGCGGUGUGUCGCGUCGGUCGUGAAAACUUGGGGCUUAACCCUGAGCUUGCGGUCGAUACGGGCAUCACUGGAGUUCGGCAGGGGAGACUGGAAUUCCUGGUGUAGCGGUGAAAUGCGCAGAUAUCAGGAGGAACACCGGUGGCGAAGGCGGGUCUCUGGGCCGAUACUGACGCUGAGGAGCGAAAGCGUGGGGAGCGAACAGG